UGUCCGAAGUCCGCCUAGAUGGCGCCGGU
rnacentral:sRNA from 1 species